UAGAAAUUUGAUUUGGCCACUAAUUUUGAUACAUCCAAUGUAAAAGUCACAUUAUUUGAUAUAUGUUCGAUAAUAAGCUAUCCCUUAAAACUUACAUACUCAAAAUUCUCAAAAAUGUUUAGAUAUUAAUUUGACGGGUAUUUGAAAAACCUAUCAAAGUCACCCGAGCUAUCAAAGUCACCCCAGUUUACAGUAAUCAAAAUCUGCAAAGUCAAAUGACUUAAGGAGACCUUUUGUGUGACUUUUUUUUUUAAAUAUUGAGGAUAGGUAUCGUCUGGUCAACUGCUGCCACCCUCGGCAAGGGAUAAUGAUCGAACGUUGCAAAGAUCACCGCACCUGGACUGCAGCUCAUGCUCCCCUGCUGUUCUGUGCGAUGUUCUUUUGAUGAAACACCUCGGACACCUCAGAAGCGAUAAAACGAAUGUGUCCGCAUCCAGUCGAGACUCAGAAAACUGUGCAGCGUUACCGUUGUGCUAUUUUGUGCCACGUGCUACGUGAGAAAACAAACCGUGGCAUAACUGGGAACAACGGCGAUGACUUGGGUACCGUGAAAUGUGCAUGUGCACGACCAUCGAAUAUCGGCCGUGGGCUCAACUCUAUGGUACUUGUAUAGACUAGUCAGUCAACGGGCUGCAGCUGGGAUGCUUGAAGAGAUGUGAAUGCGAUAUCGAAGGGAACCGCUGCCGGCCACACUCCAUACUGGCUGUUUGUUAUGCAAGAGCCAAUUCAGUACAACCGUAUACACAAGGUACCAUUCUUCGCCCAAGUGAUUGGACACAGACCAUUAAAGAAUGAUAAGCAAUAAUUUGAGCAUAACGUUGCAUUUUCACUGUUUAAUAACUGUGUUGAACCAACAAGCUGAACAGCAGAAUUGGAGCUUUUUAUUUUGCUGUACCUAAAAUUGCAUUUCCCCAUUGUAACACCAAAGAAGGAAUUACAUAUUCCAGAGAAACAUAGGAAUUUUUAUAUUAAAACUUAUUUUAAGUGAUUUUCUAAGCAAACCUAGGUGAAUAAUCACACCACGAAUGACAAGAACCACCAUCAUCGUCUAAUUAGACUGUGAACUAGUGUCGAUCUGAUGCAGUGCAUUGCAGCAUUAUAGCUAUAUAGCAUGUCUAAUUAUUUCGCGAGCAAGAUUGAUGUUUGCCCCAGCCAUUCAAGUUGUAUAGCGCAGGAGCGAAGAUAAAUUGUUCUCCAUUAUUUGCGGGGAGUUUUAGAUCGUUUCAGUCUUCCUGAUGGAAACCGGGAACAUUCGGUUCGUGGCGGCAUUCGUGGGACUUGAAAGAAAGCAUCAUCCAGCUGUUUGUAUGCGCUUCGGUACACAUAAAAGCCUUAAAUAGGCGGUAAGUGUAUGAUGCUCAGAUGAUCAACUAACUGUGGGUGCAAUUGCACUGUUGAGCUAUUUAAAAAAUGCAACCGUCACUGCUGAAACAAGGUUAACUUGCAAGUUUAACUGUUCAACUACUUAUAGUCAGUAACACGGAGAAUGCAUAAAUUCUUUCCGAGUUGAUCACGCUUGUUACUGAGUGGAGCGCAACAGGAAGUGCAUCAGAGUGAAUGACGAAGAUGUUUUCGUUGUUUGCUUAAACAAAUCUCUGUUUUUUCUGUUAGUUAUUCACUCAUCUUGAGCUCAUUAACCAAAAAUGUGUGUAAAAUUCAAAUUUUGAAACUACUACAGCAGAAGUCGAGAACGCGAAUGCCAGAGCCUAAAAUUUCACUCUCUGGCCCACAUCGUGUGAACUUUUCAUUUCUCUUAAAUCUAGCUUAAUGCACCGGGUUUGUUUGCCGCUUGAUGCUUGAAAAAAAAAACAUCACCACCACCAGUCAAACGUAGAACAAAAGAGAGAAAACUGGUGGAAAACUGUGAUUGUCAUUGUUGGCUUUAUUGGAAUUAAUUAGCCGUGCUCUCGUAUCUGCCACAAUAGCAGAGCAUGGCUGUAGCGUGCGCAGCUUAUUUUCCUUUUGCGUAGUAAAUUUUUGCUCAUUAGUGUACUCGUGGCGAGCGUUGGCGAGAAAUCAUCGAAAAACUUCCGUUUAUCUCGCAAGUCGCUACCCUCCAUUGUGAAUCGAAGUCAAAAUUUUUUGGGAGGACUCAAAAUGUAGAAAGACGAAGGUAAAAAACAGAAAAAAAAUGUAUAUCAAAAUAUUAUUAUUUUGCAAUAUUUUAGGUUUCAAAUACUCUAUGAUUUUUGAGUAAAAAACACGUUUUAGGCCAGUUUUGAGGAUGCUUUAUCUUUUUUUAGGAGCAAGUAGCAUACGCUCUUUGGGAAAGUUUCAAAUCACCUUUGAAGGUUAAAGGUUUUAAUAUAGCAUGAAACGUGGAUUUUUUAAAAUCUUUAAAAUCAGUUUUCCCCACACAAAUUCCCAUACAAAAUUUAAUCGUUUUGCGCAAGGUGAAGACUUAAGCAAUCGUUCCCAACUUUUACGGAUUUGUUUAGGAUCCUGAAAGAAACUGAUAAAUUGUUGUGCUGGAAAAUCGAUUUUUCACCGUAAUGAACCACUCUAGUGGACAAUGUUUCCUAUAAUCUCAAAUUGCCAGUAUGUUUGAAACUACACUCCAAACCAUGUGGUUUCAACUUUUUAACGCCGAACAAAUUCGCAGCAUUUCUCAAAAGACGAUCUGAUCACAGCCCUCAUGCCUGCACCGAAGGCAAGUCAAGUCAAGCCAGGGUCGAUUCUUUUCUGAAAUCAUACCUUAUGCAGAUAUGUACACACAGCAGUUGAAUCCCACGUUGCUGGAAUGCUGUCCGGAGAGCUCGCCGUCGUCGUCCAACGCAUGAUUCGAUCGCUGCUAUUUGCUCUCUGCUAGCAAACCCGUCUGUAUAGAAGACGACGAUCACAUUACGUCAUCGCUCAAGGUGAGUUGAGGCCGUCGCCAUUUUUUCAGCAUCAGAGAGUGUUUUGCGGGUACGAUAACUACAACUUGUGUUGAAUAAAUAUUUCUUUCGAAGAACGAAUAGUCAGUCAUUCACACUUCAUUGACUGUGAGUCAUUUUUGGAGGGCUAAAUCGAGAAGUAAGCACAACUUCUUUUGUCAUUGCUUUAUAAUGGCAUCGCAUGUGCUCAUUUGAUGAAAAGCAAACUUUUGCUGUGAUCACGCAGCAUCACAUCUUCAAGAGGCUCAAGUUAACUGUUACUCCGAGGAAGCAGACAACGAAGUGCCCCCUUCGGACCAUGGAGGGCUGUAUUUUGAUCGCCUGCGGGCUUUUUGGUUACGAAUCAAUAGCCCCGGGGAGUGCGAGAAGUGCCAAUUUUGACCGCAUGUCCGUCCUUAUGUAACUUGACCGGGUUACGAUUUCGGGUCGGCAACAUUAAUGAAGUUUUAUGAGGCUGGGAAAAGAUCAAAUUUAGAAUGGAUUGUAAUCUUUGCCAAAUUAGCAGAUUUGUCUCUAUGUCUGAAUAGACAAACAAAACCUGUUCUAUCAAACAGAUUUGUUUGUACUACCGUGAACAGAUUACCCAACUGAUCUAGCUGAUCAGCUGAACGUUUCUCUGUUGAUGGUUUGCAAUGAACGUGUAGGUAUGCCUCUUUCAUUGGCCAGCUCCUAUACACCGGUACAGGUGAUGCACAUUAGUUUUCCAAGUGGGUAGUAACAAGCGUAGAUAUGGAUGGGUGUCUAUUUGGAGAACAACGAGAUCUCCGCGCCGGCCGCCGACUCAAAAGAGCUUCUGGCAUAUCCGCCCGCCAUCGACUGAGUGAGUGAGUGGUAAAAAAGUCACGUUGUGAUUUUAUUACUGCGACGCCCAAACAGGAAAGCAUUUUCACGGCCACAAUGUCAAUGGCAAGAUGUGCGUGUAUUGUUUAUGUAUAGCAAAAAAGGGAAAUCUAGGCAUCAGGUUGAGCUUUGAAAUUUGUCUCAACUUGUUAUAGUUAAAGGCCUAAGGGGCCAGCCCAAAUUUUUUGGUUUAAUUUUCACAAUUUUGACCGUAAAAAAACGAUUGCCCAUUUUUUCACGGUUUAUUUUUGGCGGAAUCGAUUCUCAAAUGUCCAGAGAACAUAACUUUGACAAAAGUUUUUGUAUGUAGAUUUUAUGUAAUUUUUGAGUAAAAACUGGCCCAGCUUGCAGGCCGGAUUGAAUUUUGACGUAAAAUGUAGAUAAAAACGGAAUGUAAAAAUAGUUUUUCAAACUUUUAACAAAUAUUUUGUUUACUGGUCCGAUUCCAUCAAUGAAAUCAUAAAAAAUGGAAAAUUGUUGUUUUAAGUGUAAAUAAAGUGAAAAUUGUGCCAAAAAGGUUGGAUAGGCUUGACGUACAGUGCUAAAACAAUAAAUUUCAAAUAUGUUAUAACAAUUAAUAUUAAAUUUCUGCCCAAAACUGAAGAUUUAUUUCAGUAGAAUAUUUUUAUUUAUUAUCUUUCGAUCCAUUUCCAAGUCACCAAAGAAUAAUUUAGUACAUAAAAUUGGAUUUGAUUGAUGGCAUUCGUGUCUUGCGCUGUUUAUUAUUUUCAUCUCAACAGAUUACUGUUGCCUUUCUGUAGAAAAAAAUGUCGAAGUGGUUUGCAAAUAGGGAGCCUAAAAAUCAGUGUUUUUCAAUAAGUACAUCAAUAGAAAGAUACUUCCAGAUUAAUUGAGUUAUUUUCUAUAGAAAUAAAGCGGACUUCAUUGUGAAGUAGAAGAUAUUUUCAUCGUGAAACUUGAUGAUG